rnacentral:rRNA from 1 species
CCUACGGAGGGCACCAGUGGGGAAUAUUGCACAAUGGGCGCAAGCCUGAUGCAGCCAUGCCGCGUGUAUGAAGAAGGCCUUCGGGUUGUAAAGUACUUUCAGCGGAGAGGAAGGUGUUGUGGUUAUUAACCGCAGCAAUUGACGUUACCCGCAGAAGAAGCACCGGCUAACUCCGUGCCAGCAGCCGCGGUAAUACGGAGGGUGCAAGCGUUAAUCGGAAUUACUGGGCGUAAAGCGCACGCAGGCGGUCUGUCAAGUCGGAUGUGAAAUCCCCGGGCUCAACCUGGGAACUGCAUUCGAAACUGGCAGGCUAGAGUCUUGUAGAGGGGGGUAGAAUUCCAGGUGUAGCGGUGAAAUGCGUAGAGAUCUGGAGGAAUACCGGUGGCGAAGGCGGCCCCCUGGACAAAGACUGACGCUCAGGUGUGAAAGCGUGGGGAGCAAACAGGAUUAGAUACCCGCGUAGUC